GGGAAAGUUGAAAAGAACUUUGAAGAGAGAGUUCAAUAGUACGUGAAACCUCUCGGGGGUAAGCGGGCAGAACUUGCAAGUAUUGGCUGGGAAUAUUCAGGCUUAAUGUUGGCGACUGAGAGUGUAUUAUAAAGUUGUCCUUUUGGGGAUUGGCUGAUGUGUGCUCUUUGAUUUGUUGACGAUGCGCCGCAUUUAUUUCCGUCAUCGGGUUGCAUGUGACUGAGCCUGUAGUUUAGGUGCUGAGAUCCUGCGAAGCCUUGUUGUUUCGAGUCUUUGGUUUCCGACUACGGCUGCGGUCAUUAUAUCUUUUACUGGACAGGCGUUUAGGCGCGGUCAAUGGUUUGUACGAGUUGUGUGCAUGUUGUAUGUGGACGGGUAACCGUAGCAUACGAUAUGAGGCUGAUUGUCGGUAUGAGCUAAUUUGGC
rnacentral:rRNA from 1 species